rnacentral:lncRNA from 1 species
GAUCUUGAACUCAUGAAUCCAAAGAACCAAUGCUUUUAUCUUGCUUCCCGUUUUAGAUAAUAGAAGCUGUGGCCAUAUAUAAAUAUCAGAGAUCCAAGUUUUCAAUUUAAUUUUCAGUAACAGAAAUAAGUAGGAAAGGGAUAAAAUAUUGACCUUGGAUAAUAGAACUAUUGUUGGCUAAUCAUUGAAUAUAUGCAGAUACUCCUCUUUCCAUAAAAAUGGGCAAUAUCUUUUGUCACUGUUGUGACAUUUGGAGCAAUAUAUUAGUAGUGACAAUCCAUGUAUUGUUGCCAAUGAAACAACUAAUAAUCCAUGUGACGAUGCUGCUCGAUUAGGAAAUAAAAGAACUGCUUAAGAAAUGGGGAUGAUUUUGCAGUGAUGAUAAAAGGGAAGAAGCACCAAAUUAACUGAAGAUAAAUUUAUUCUAUGGUGUUGAAAACAGGAAUUCAAUGAGCCACAUAUUAUAGAAAAAUCUAGCAACAAGUGGCAAUAUAAAGAUGUUUCAUGGCAAAUGUUCAGUGUUUCUUGUUAGGCUCAAGGACAUACUGUGAACUAUUG